UCCCUGGAGGACUAGUGGUUAGGCCUCGGCGCUCUUGCCGCCCCAGUCGGGGUUCGAUUCCCGGCCAGGGAA